rnacentral:rRNA from 1 species
CAUAAAUGAUUUUUGGAUUCGGAGCGAGUGGCGAACUGGUGAGUAACACGUGGGUAACCUGCCCCGAAGCGGGGGAUAACAUUUGGAAACAAGUGCUAAUACCGCAUAAUUAGUUGGAACCGCAUGGUUCCAACUUGAAAGAAGGCUCUGCUAUCACUUUGGGAUGGACCCGCGCCGUAUUAGUUAGUUGGUGAGAUAAAAGCCCACCAAGACGAUGAUACGUAGCCGACCUGAGAGGGUAAUCGGCCACAUUGGGACUGAGACACGGCCCAGACUCCUACGGGAGGCAGCAGUAGGGAAUCUUCCACAAUGGACGAAAGUCUGAUGGAGCAACGCCGCGUGAGUGAUGAAGGUUUUCGGAUCGUAAAACUCUGUUGUUAAAGAAGAACAAGUGUUAGAGUAACUGUUAACACUUUGACGGUAUUUAACCAGAAAGCCACGGCUAACUACGUGCCAGCAGCCGCGGUAAUACGUAGGUGGCAAGCGUUGUCCGGAUUUAUU